UGGGAGUGGACCAAUGGUAGCACGUGGGCGAGAGUGGGAGAGAAAGUAGAGAGAGGAAGGCAUAAUCGAAGACGCUAUUGAAUGUAUCAUAAUUGAAGACAAUGGAGUGGACAGCAGCAGCAGUAGUGAUGAAUUGAGUGAUGUCAGAAAAGGAAGGCCUAUCAGGAAUGGAAGAAUUGGAAGAGGACCGAAGAGUUGUGAAGAUAAAAUUAUCUACUACUCUCUGCAGUGCAGAGCAUUUGUUGCAAUGGAAACUCAAUGGUAAUACACAUACCUACUCAUGGCUGGUUGACGGAAUUCAGCGUAUCAGAUUGUACAGCGUCGAUCGAUAAAAAUGAUAAUAGUAAAUUUUGGGGGGGAAAAGAAGCGGGCAUUAUAUAAUUUAGGAGGGUUCACCGUACCAUCUGUACUGUCUUUCUGUAACAAAGAAUUUUCUUUGCUAUAUGGAUAUUUGUAUGGAUCUGAAAUGACUAUGGUAGAUGGUUGAGCUGGUUUUAUUUGCUACACAAUAUAAUACAAUUUCAUGUGACGGGUGUAGUUGUUCAAACUCCUGUAAAGUCUUAAAAAAAAGGUUGUAACUUGUGUACAUCAAGCCGCAGACAGAAGACACUUAUAACAGGUUCUACUGUAUGUAUCCAAUCCAGGAGGCUGCCCCCAUCACAGAACUUCUCAACAUGGCUCUCCACUGCACAGUUGAAAGUAAAUGUAAAGGAGUCCCACUAUGCGCCAUGUAGGCACUUGGGGGGGGGGGG